GCUCCAGUCUCUUGGUUUUCGUGUGGCCAGGAUGGAAGGUUCUGGAAGCCUGCCCUGCCACCCCAGGAGGCUGGGGCUCACCACAUCCUGGGAAACUGGAGAGGGGAAAUUUGGAUUUUUCUCUAGGAAGCAGUUUCCUCAGCAGUCCACAAGCCUUUAUCAGCGUUCAGCCCUCUCUUAUUGGGCAGGCAGCCCUGAUGGUGUGGGCCCUGCAUUCCAGGAGCAAAAAAACCCUGCCCUCCUUACCCCUCCUGGUAAAACUGGGCUGCAUGGGGAUGGCACCAUGCCCUCCGGCCACCACCCGGAAACUGGCUUGGCUGGCAACAGGGCGGGUGGGGAGGAAGGCAGAGCUGUUUGAACAUGUCCCUCGCUGCCGUGGAAGGGGUGGGAGACGGCAGGGGUGAGCUGCAGAAACGUGAUGAGGUUAUAGUUUCCUCUUUAUGCAAAUCCUCUCACCCUAUGAAUGGGCCUGUGCGGACAGAGAAGGUGAGGGAUAUAAAGAUGUGGUGGAGCCAAGAGAUGCCUUUCAGACGAGGAAAUUAAAGAAUCCUGCCCAUUUCCUGGAAGCCGGAGGCCUCCCACCUGCCCUGGGCACUGGCACGCUGGCUUUUGCCACCUAAUUGGCACAGGAUGGUGACUGAAGUCAAGCAUCCCCCUGUCCCAUGGCUGUAUCCAAGUCAAGCAGAUAACUGCUGUGUGAUGGUGGGUAGGUUGCAUAGCCUCUCUGUUUUCCAAACCAUUCAGAGGCUAUAAUUGUAUCCAUCUUGCUGUGUAGCUGGGAGGAUUCCACUGAUGGAGUUGAUGUAGGCAGAGGAGAAGGCUGGUGCUGUGGCCUCCAUGUUGGAGCAUAAGAAGGAGGACCACACCCUAGGGAUGGCAGAGUGGUGAGCAAGACAGAGCCUGGGACGCUGAGGGCUUCCUGGAAUCUCCAAACCAGCCCUGAACUGCCUACAUCUGGACUUCAUCACACAAGAGAAAAAUAAA